rnacentral:lncRNA from 1 species
GUUAGUCGGGAGGGGGCGCUGUACGCGCGCUGUACGCUUGCGCGAGGUGACGCCGGGGCAGGGCCGGAAGGAAUGCAGCGGCUGCCACGGAGCUCGUAGCUGCAGCUUUGGAGGAGUAAGCGGCGUGGUAGCGAAGGUCGCCGAACCCGCCUGGCUAGCCGGCGAGUUGAGUGGCGACUCUUUUGAAACAGAUGGUCACCAUGUUUAGAUAUUAGCAGUCCCGUAUGUGCAUGUCUGCAUUUGAAAAUGGAAGAGGGAAACAACAAUGAAGAGGUAAUUCACUUGAACAACUUUCACUGCCAUCGGGGACAAGACUUUGUAAUUUUCUUCUGGAAAACCCAGAUUAUCCAAAGAGAGAAGACAGAAUCAUUAUAAAUCCCAGUAGCAGUCUGCUGGCCAGCCAAGAUGAGACAAAGUUGCCUAAAAUAAGACUUUUUUGACUAUUCUAAAUUGACUCCUCUUGACCAGCACUGCUUCAUCCAAGCUGCUGACCUCCUCAUGGCCGACUUCAAAGUGCUCAGUAGUCAGGACAUCAUGUGGGCCCUGCACGAGCUCAAAGGACACUAUGCAAUCACCCGAAAGGCCUUUUCUGAUGCCAUUAAAAAAUGGCAGGAGCUAUCACCAGAAACCAGUGGAAAAAGGAAAAAGAGAAAAGAAAUGAACCAGUAUUCUUAAAUUGAUUUCAAGUUUGAACAAGGGGUUGGCAUCUGCACAUCCUUCCUGGGCAUCUCGUGGGCACUGCUCGAUUACCACCAGGCCUUGCACACCUGCCUCCCCUCCAAGCCCCUCCUGGGCCUGGGCUCCUCUGUGAUCUACGUCCUGUGGAACCUGCUGCUACUGUGGCCCCGAGUCCUAGCUGUGGCCCUGUUCUCAGCCCUCUUCCCCAGUAUGUAGCCCUGCAUUUCCUGGGCCUGUGGCUGGUACUGCUGCUCUGGGUUUGGCUUCAAGGCACAGACUUCAUGCUGGACCCCAGUUCCGAGUAUCCUCUAUUUCUCCUGGUUCAACGUGGCUGAGGGCCACACCCGAGGCCGGGCCACCAUCCACUUGGCUUUCCUCCUGAGUGACAGCAUUCUCCUGGUGGCCACCUGGGUGACUUACAGCUCCUGGCUGCCCAGCAGGAUUCCACUGCAGCUGUGGCUGCCUGUAGGAGGCGGAUGCUUCUUUCUGGGCCUGGCUCUGUGGCUUGUGUGCUACUGCUGGCUGCACCCUAGCUGAUGCUGGGAGCCCAACCCUGACCAGGUGGACAGGACCCAGAGUCUACUUUCCUCAGAGGGGUAUCAGCUGCCUCAGACCCAGUUAGCACAGAACUUUUUUCCCAAGGGUAAGGCUGAGGCUGCUUCGCCAGUGAAGGGAGAGGUGAACGGCGUCCUUUGAAGCAGGAUCAGACCCAGCCAGCAGAGAUGGAGAGUGACUGCUGGCAGAAGGCAGGCGAGGAUAAGCUAACGAUGCUGCUGUGGCCUCCAUGCACUCAGCAAGAGUGGGAUGCCUCUGCUGGGCCGUGCACCAGGGAUGGUGCUGAGUGGGGCAGAGGCCUGCCUUCAAGGAGUUCACAGUGAACAAGAUGAGAAGGGCUGGGCCCUGCAGGGUCAAGAGCCCCAAUUACGUACAAGACACUUUGGGAGGAAAGACGACUACCUUUUCUUUUCCCCCUGCCAUUGGUAUAGCUGGUGCCCCAAAACUUUCACCUCCCUCCCUGGCCACCUCUAAAAUGAUUGGUAUAGGGGCUUCCCCACCCCUUAGCUCCCCUAUCCUGGGCUAGAAGGCCACAGGGACUGUCCUCUAGAAUUCUUCCUCCCCUCCCCCACACCAUUCAUUCAAUUCGUGAAACAAAUCUUCACCGAGAGCAGUUUAUGUGCUAGGAACAUCAUUCUAUCCUUGCAACCUGGAACAAGACCAGCUACCACCUUAGCUUCAUCCCCUACUUGCACCAACCAGUCCCGGGUUAGAUCUCAAAUGCCGGAAGUCAGGGAUGCCCAACUCUGGGCAGCCCCAGUCAGAACCUCUGGGAUCUCAGUGAAGCUGGCCUGGCCUCUGCUCUUGCUCUCAAGGGGCUGCUUUUCAACCAAGAGCCUUGUGAGCCUGGUCUGAGCCUUGCACAGCCACUGAGUAUUUUUUAUUCCUUAGCCAGUGUACCUCCUACCUCAGAGUCUAUGUGAGAGGAAGAGAAUGUGUGUCCCUGUGGGUCUCUGCAAGUGACAGAUGUGUUGUUUUUAACAGUAUUAUUAGGUUAUGAUUAAAGCCUCAUGAAAUCCUCUAA